GAAAAGGCGAGGUGGGGACAGACUGAGACAAUUGAGAAAAAGCCCUUGAAACUGCAAUGCUAGUUUCUGGGGCUGUCCAUGGUUCUGGAAGGGCUCCCAGCAAAGGGUGGAGAGCAGGGUGAGGAUGAAGAACAUGAAGACGACGAACACGGCUAGUCCCACCCAGAAGCCGAUGACGAUGGAGUCUGCAACAUCAGAUCAACAAGGGAUUAUGGUCCAGUUCCGGUAAGCUGAACGAGCUGAAGAUUCCAUUUGAAGAUUACAGAGGGAAAGCAUAUGAUAAUGGGGCCAAAAUGAAGGGCAAGCACCAAAGAGUACAAGCCAGACUGCUGAAAGAAAUCCCAGAGCCGUGUUCGUCCCAUGUGGAGCACAUACUCUAGACCUCGUCUUUGCAGAUGCUGCCAAAUCUGCAAAAGAUGCAGUUAGGUUUUUGGGGCAUGUGCAAAAGCUCUUCACCUUCUUUUCAGCUGGCACACAAAGAUGGAGUGUUUUGAAGAAACACUGUGAAGUUAUGAAGUACCACAAGGUGGGAGAGUAGGCUCCAAGGUAUUCAUGCAAUCAGGUAUCAGGCUUCUGAGGUUCGGGAAACAUACUGGGAAACUGGAUUCUUUGAGGCCCAGACUUUAGCCAAAAGCAUUUGUGAAGAAAUUCAUGUGAAGGCUGUUCUGAAAGAGAAGAGACUGAGAAACAGCAAGAGUCAUUUGAGCUAUGAGGUUCCUGAUGAACCAGUGACUGAUGCUCUGAAAAACCUUGAAGUCAACUACUUCAACAUUGUGGUCGUCUCUGCUGUGACAUUCAUGGAUGAGAGAUUUGAAACACUCAAUCAGGUGAAAACGUAACAUGGCGUACUGCUGAACUUCAGCACUGCCUCUCAGAUGUCCAGUGAGUCUUUAAAGGCUCACUGCAUGGAAGUUGAACACACUCUAACCUUCAGAGAUGACUGUGACAUCAGUGGAAAGUAUCUGGAACACGAGAUUCAGAAUUUACCUGAUCUGCUAUCAGAUAAGAUGACUGCCUUUGAGCUGCUUUCAUUUCUCUGUGAGAAAAACCGGGAGGAACUCUAUCCGAAUUACAGUCACUCUACCAGUAACAGUAGCAUCGGCAGAGAGGAGCUUUUCAAAAUAAAAGCUCAUCAAAAGCUACCUGAGGUCUUCCAUGUCACAGGAACGUUUGAGUGGUCUGGCCAUCAUGAGCAUAAAUCCUGACAAGGGGAAACGUGUCCUACGAUGGUAUCAUUGUGAUGAUUUUUCCUCAAGAAUGUGCAGAAGACGAGUAUUGUGAUGACAGUCCAGACAGACGGGUGCCCAGACAGACGGGUGCCCAGACAGACGGGUGCCCAGACAGACGGGUGCCCAGACAGACGGGUGCCCAGACAGACGGGUGCCCAGACAGACGGGUGCCCAGAUAGACGGGUGCCCAGACAGACGGGUGCCCAGACAGACUGGUGCCCAGACAGACUGGUGUCCAUGCUGAUGCUGAAAAUGCCCAGGCUGUAAAGAUUUUAUUUGACUAUUUUGAGACAUAUAGCUGCAGCCAUAGCCUUUUAGGCUUAUGUUUACAUUGUAUAGACAAAGCUAAUUGUAUAAUAUCGUGAGGACUGGACUAAUUACCAUGCAGCAGAGCCAAAACUCAGUGUUAUGUUUUAUAAUUUCUACAUUUUGUAUUUUCUACUAUUUCUUAUUUAUGUUAAUGUUAAUAUUCACUUAUCUUAAGAUUCUAUAGAAAAUAUUCUAUUCCAUAAAUAUUGUUUUUUAUACCUCAUUUUGUUCUGUAUAGCUCUACUUAUUCUUAGACCGUUAGAGGAAGCAAACCAUUUUAAAGGAGGGAGGAUUGUAGUGGGAGCACUGGGGUAUCAGGUGUGACUGUGUGGAGGAUUGUAGUGGGAGCACUGGGGUAUCAGGUGUGACUGUGUGGAGGAUUGUAGUGGGAGCACUGGGGUAUCAGGUGUGACUGUGUGGAGGAUUGUAGUGGGAGCACUGGGGUAUCAGGUGUGACUGUGUGGAGGAUUGUAGUGGGAGCACUGGGGUAUCAGGUGUGACUGUGUGGAGGAUUGUAGUGGGAGCACUGGGGUAUCAGGUGUGACUGUGUGGAGGAUUGUAGUGGGAGCACUGGGGUAUCAGGUGUGACUGUGUGGAGGAUUGUAGGGGGAGCACUGGGGUAUCAGGUGUGACUGUGUGGAGGAUUGUAGUGGGAGCACUGGGGUAUCAGGUGUGACUGUGUGGAGGAUUGUAGGGGGAACACUGGGGUAUCAGGUGUGACUGUGUGGAGGAUUGUAGGGGGAGCACUGGGGUAUCAGGUGUGACUGUGUGGAGGAUUGUAGUGGGAGCACUGGGGUGUCAGGUGUGACUGUGUGGAGGAUUGUAGUGGGAUCACUGGGGUAUCAGGUGUGACUGUGUGGAGGAUUGUAGGGGGAGCACUGGGGUGUCAGGUGUGACUGUGUGGAGGAUUGUAGGGGGAGCACUGGGGUGUCAGGUGUGACUGUGUGGAGGAUUGUAGUGGGAUCACUGGGGUAUCAGGUGUGACUGUGUGGCAAUGGCAAAUGGUUUACAUGGUUCACAGAUCAGGUAGUAGGGCCCCUUAGCAGAAUUUUCCUUUUUUUUAAAUUUCAAUUUACUAAAUUGUUUUUUCAAUUUUAGUUUUUAUUUUAGUUUCAGUUUUAGUUGACUAUAUAUAAUACAUAACCUUGCUCAGCUGUUUGCCAGAAACAGUGGCGAGAUGAGGGCUAAUAUAUUUUUCGUUAUAUAUUUUCAUUGUAUAUUAUCUAAUCUGCCUCACCCAUUAUUUUGAAUCAAUAUGACAAGUUGAUAUUUCAACUUUUUACAUCACUCACCAACAACCAAUCAAGGAGCCUCUUUUUUAAAUCUUUCCUAUCUAGCCUACCUCAUGAAGGAACAAUUGGUGUACUCCAUCCAAUAACAUUUCUACUUGCUUCUAAAGGCAAGAUCCAAUGGUCUAUCAGAAGUUCAUCAGUGGUCAUUGAUGUGGUCUAUGGUACAUGAAAACAUAAGAGAUAUUCAUUUUCUGCACCAUUGAUCUAUGGAAUUAUUUAUUUAUAGCACCAUGAACAAGAUUAUCUCAAAUCCCGUUCUGUUCCAAAAGGUUGUAGUUGUUUCAACUAAGUCUAAGGGUAGAGCUAUAAAAUUCAAGCCCCACAUAUAUUUUUUUC